GUCGGCCGCGGGCGGGGGGACAAAGGCCGGGCGGCCGGCCGGGGGUCUCGGGGAGGGGCGGGCGCGUGCGGCCGGGCCGGGCCGGGCUGCGCGGAGGCCGGACAGCUGGCGAGUGUCAGGGCCGCCGCCCGGCCGCACGCACCUCCCCGCGCCCGGGACGCGCGUUGUCCCGGCCGCGCCACGAGUUCACCUGGGACUUUGCAAAUAACUGUGCCACCGGUGGCAGCUGCGCUCCAGCCCGGCGUUUGGCUGGGGGCAGGCGGCGGUGCCCGGGGAAGUGAACUUAUUUUGUUCCUGCACAAAGACUGGACCAGGCGGUGCCUUUCACGCGAGGAGGUGCCGAGCACGGACACCUCGUCGUCGGAUGCAUUGUGUGCGCGAGCAGCACCUCGGGCCCCAGGCGGUCAUCAUUUCACAGAAAAUGCACCGCCCCGAGUGUCUUAUUGCUGUGAUGAAAUGGAAAUUUAAAUAAAAGGUCGAACACGUGCGUUCACUGGGAAGUAUUGACAUGGGUGUUACAUCACCAGCAGCCAAUCAGAUAACGCCAGUCGUGUUUAUACUUCUACAACCACCUUAUGAAAUGUCAUUUUCAUGUAAAAAAUGAUGCUGCUGACCUACCACAAGAAGAUUUUGGCAUUGAGUUAUUUUUCCGGUCAUGAUCGUGUUGUCACCUGGCCACCAGCGAUCCCCAGCUUGAAAUUCCCAUAUGGGUCUUCAGAGUGGUACAGUUUGUGGGUUUUUUAAAUUUCUUUUGUCCUGCUUUGUUUCAGUUGUUGGAAAGUUUAAAAGUGUAGGGUCUUUGCCAUUGACCGAAUUUUUCCCUUUGAGAAGUGACAGGAUUCUGUCUGCUUAGCUGUAUAUAUGUGCUUCCAUGUAAUAUAUGGAAGAAUGUUAUAAUAAUACUGUGCUUUGUCCUCAAUGCGUUUUUAAAAUUCCAGGCACUUUGCAAAUAAAUACAUUAUUUAUAAUAUUUUAACCACCACUGCUUCCCUCGUAAAAAAAAGGUGAGAGUUACUGAAGUUAAUUUCUUAUCUAGGCUUAAAGUGAUGGGAAGUGAAAAUGGACUUGAGAAUUUUUAUUUCAACUUUAAAGGUUGUUUUCAUUCCAAAACUGUUAAAUUCAUAUCUUUGUUUCUUUUCAUCUUACAUGCCUGGUACAUAAUGGGCACUAUGUAAGUUUCUGCUGGUAUUAUUAUUUUUGCUUUCUGCGAGUGUCAAUUACCAAAAAUGCUUGAAUCCAUAAUGGUGUUAAUUGUGUCAGGAGUGUAUUUUUCUCAGACAUAUAUCUUACCUUAUAUUUUGUAAGAUCCACAUUGUCUUCUGUCUGGAGUUAUGUUUAAACGUGGGCUAAUUAAGAAUGAACGACACGAGAUUCAAGUGGUACAAAUAAAUGACAAACUCUGGGA